rnacentral:rRNA from 1 species
GCCUUGCCAGCCCGCUCAGAAACUCAAAGAAGUUGACGGGGCCCGCACAAGCGGAGGAGCAUGUGGUUUAAUUCGAUGAUACGCGAGGAACCUUACCUGGGCUUAAAUGCUUAAUGACGUACUGGGAAACUGGUAUUUCUUCGGACAUUUUGCAAGGUGCUGCAUGGUUGUCGUCAGCUCGUGCCGUGAGGUGUCGGGUUAAGUCCCAUAACGAGCGCAACCCCUAUUGUUAGUUGCCAUCAGGUCAUGCUGGGGACUCUAACAAAACUGCCCGCGUAAGCGUGGAGGAAGGUGGGGAUGACGUCAAAUCAGCACGGCCCUUACGUCCAGGGCUACACACGUGCUACAAUGGCCGGUACAGAGGGCAGCCACUUGGUGACAAGGAGCAAAUCUCAAAAGCCGGUCUCAGUUCGGAUCGGAGUCUGCAACUCGACUCCGUGAAGUUGGAUUCGCUAGUAAUCGUAGAUCAGCAAUGCUACGGUGAAUACGUUCCCGGGCCUU